rnacentral:misc_RNA from 1 species
GUGGAUUCGGUCCCGUUUACAGGGUACGUAUUCCUAUAUUCUUUGCUCUGUUAGCUCAAAUUAUGGAACAAAAAUAAAUUAGAUUCGUAUCUCGCGUUUUCCGUGUAUGGCUCGAAGGCUUCUUCUUCUUCUUCUUCUGGUUUUCUGGUUAGAGGAAGAAUUAGAUGGAACGGUGGGACUUGAGAGUAGCUGAGUAAACUAAUUUACGGAAUUAGCCCUGUAGUGUGUGAAUUAGUCACAGAGUGGUUGCACCUUCUGCAUUUAAUGCCAUAGUCAGUCGUAUAGAGUAAUAACGGUAAAAUUCUUCUGUUUAUUAGUGGUCCACCACUUUGUGGAAUUCAUAUAGACUAUUUGGGAUUGUUUUGGAAUUGUUGUUCUAAUGUAAAAAUUUCUCAAAUUUAAUUUAAAAUUAAAUUUU